rnacentral:rRNA from 1 species
UAGAGUUUGAUCCUGGCUCAGGACGAACGCUGGCGGCGUGCCUAACACAUGCAAGUCGAGCGAAGUAUAUCUGAGGGAAAUUUUCGGAUGGAACUUAGAUAUAUCUUAGCGGCGGACGGGUGAGUAACGCGUGAGCAACCUGCCUUUCACAAAGGGAUAGCCUCGGGAAACUGGGAUUAAUACCAUAUAAAACUUGUCUUUCGCAUGAAAGAAAAGUCAAAGCGAAUAAGCGGUGAAAGAUGGGCUCGCGUCCUAUUAGCUAGUUGGUGAGGUAACGGCUCACCAAGGCGACGAUAGGUAGCCGGCCUGAGAGGGUGAACGGCCACACUGGAACUGAGACACGGUCCAGACUCCUACGGGAGGCAGCAGUGGGGGAUAUUGCACAAUGGAGGAAACUCUGAUGCAGCGACGCCGCGUGAGUGAAGAAGGCCUUCGGGUCGUAAAGCUCUGUCCUAGGGGAAGAUAAUGACGGUACCCUAGGAGGAAGCCCCGGCUAACUACGUGCCAGCAGCCGCGGUAAUACGUAGGGGGCGAGCGUUGUCGGAUUCUGGGCGUAAGUCAAUACCCGAAGCCAGUGAGCUAACCAGAAAUGGAGGCAGCUGUCGAAGGUAGGGGCAAUGACUGGGGUGAAGUCGUAACAAGGUAACCGAGUUCGUAGGCGGUCUGAUAAGUCAGAUGUGAAAGGCGUAGGCUUAACCUAUGUAAGCAUAUGAAACUGUCAGACUUGAGGUAAGGAGAGGAAAGUGGAAUUCCUAGUGUAGCGGUGAAAUGCGUAGAUAUUAGGAGGAAUACCAGUGGCGAAGGCGACUUUCUGGACUUAAACUGACGCUGAGGAACGAAAGCGUGGGGAGCAAACAGGAUUAGAUACCCUGGUAGUCCACGCCGUAAACGAUGAGUGCUAGGUGUCGGGUAGAAAUAUUCGGUGCCGCAGCUAACGCAAUAAGCACUCCGCCUGGGGAGUACGUACGCAAGUAUGAAACUCAAAGGAAUUGACGGGGACCCGCACAAGCAGCGGAGCAUGUGGUUUAAUUCGAAGCAACGCGAAGAACCUUACCAGGGCUUGACAUGCCUCUGACGUUACUAGAGAUAGUAAUUUAUCCUUCGGGAUACAGGGGACACAGGUGGUGCAUGGUUGUCGUCAGCUCGUGUCGUGAGAUGUUGGGUUAAGUCCCGCAACGAGCGCAACCCUUGUAUUUAGUUGCCAGCAUUAAGUUGGGCACUCUAGAUAGACUGCCGUGGACAACACGGAGGAAGGUGGGGAUGACGUCAAAUCAUCAUGCCCUUUAUGUCCUGGGCUACACACGUGCUACAAUGGUCGGUACAACGAGCAGCAAGCUAGUGAUAGCAAGCGAAUCUCUAAAAGCCGAUCCCAGUUCGGAUUGUAGGCUGCAACUCGCCUACAUGAAGUCGGAGUUGCUAGUAAUCGCGAAUCAGCAUGUCGCGGUGAAUGCGUUCCCGGGUCUUGUACACACCGCCCGUCACACCAUGGGAGUU